rnacentral:rRNA from 1 species
AACCGGUCACUGAAGGAUGGGCCUGCGUCUGAUUAGCUAGGUUGGUGGGGGUAAACGGCCCACCAAGGCGACGAUCAGUAGCCGGUCUGAGAGGAUGAACGGCCACAUUGGGACUGAGACACGGCCCAAACUCCUACGGGAGGCAGCAGUGGGGAAUCUUCCGCAAUGGGCGCAAGCCUGACGGAGCAACGCCGCGUGAGUGAAGAAGGUUUUCGGAUCGUAAAGCUCUGUUGAGAGGGACGAGAGACAUAAUCAGGAAAUGGGUUAUGGAGGACGGUACCUUUCGAGGAAGCCACGGCUAACUACGUG